rnacentral:rRNA from 1 species
GACGAACCGUGCAAACGUUGUUCGGAAUCACUGGGCUUAAAGGGCGCGUAGGCGGGCGGGCAAGUCAGGGGUGAAAUCCCACGGCUCAACCGUGGAAGUGCCUUUGAUACUGCUCGUCUGGAGGGAGGUAGGGGCGUGCGGAACUUCCGGUGGAGCGGUGAAAUGCGUAGAUAUCGGAAGGAACACCGGUGGCGAAAGCGGCGCGCUGGACCUCUACUGACGCUGAGGCGCGAAAGCCAGGGGAGCGGAACAGG